GGUUUUAUAGUUUAAUUCAAAACUACUAAAUUGCAAAUUUAGAGAUACUUUUAUAAGUUAAAACUU
rnacentral:tRNA from 1 species